rnacentral:rRNA from 1 species
UACGGAGGGUGCAAGCGUUACUCGGAAUUACUGGGCGUAAAGGGUGCGUAGGCGGUUGUUUAAGUCUGUUGUGAAAUCCCCGGGCUCAACCUGGGAAUGGCAAUGGAUACUGGACAGCUAGAGUGUGUCAGAGGAUGGUGGAAUUCCCGGUGUAGCGGUGAAAUGCGUAGAGAUCGGGAGGAACAUCAGUGGCGAAGGCGGCCAUCUGGGACAACACUGACGCUGAAGCACGAAAGCGUGGGGAGCAAACAGG